GUUGGACCACGGGGUGUCCUCGUCGCUGGAGGGCGUAAUCUCAAUGGACGGCAGUUGCAGGAACUCCUUGCCGGGGGACAAGACGCCGGGGAUGUUGAUCACUGACUUCCUUGAGGUCUACAAACCGCUUCCCUACCUUGCCCAGGGAACUAGAAACAGAGACCAAUCAAGCAGGUAGCGGUGAGGCAGGAACAAGGUGUAAAGGGUAUGAAGAACCUACAGAGAAGCAGGAGAGAGCUUACUCCUCCAAGUUGUCUUCUGACAUCCAUGUGCUCAACACAUACAGAAGCACUCACACGUGCAAAUAAAUAAACGAU